CCAAGCGAUGGGGUGACGCAGGAAGGUAGCUGGGCCAGUCGGUGGUUGUACUGGUGUAAGAGUGUAGGCCGUGACAUAGGCAAAUCCGUGUCACAUUAAGGCUGAGACUUGAUGCAUACCCGUUGUGGGGAAUUCAGUGAUCCUAUGCUGCCGAGAAAAGCCUCUAGUGAGUUCAUACACGGCCCGUACCCCAAACCGACACAGGUGAUCAGGUAGAGAAUACCAAGGCGAUCGAGAGAACUGUGGUUAAGGAACUCGGCAAAAUGCCCCCGUAACUUCGGGAGAAGGGGGACCAUGCCCGGUGAACAUCUUCACGGUGGGAGCUGGGUGUGGUCGCAGAGACCAGAGAGAAGCGACUGUUUACUAAAAACACAGGUCCGUGCGAAGACGUAAGUCGAUGUAUACGGACUGACGCCUGCCCGGUGCUGGAAGGUUAAGAGGACCGGUUAGCCGUAAGGCGAAGCUGAGAAUUUAAGCCCCAGUAAACGGCGGUGGUAACUAUAACCAUCCUAAGGUAGCGAAAUUCCUUGUCGGGUAAGUUCCGACCUGCACGAAUGGCGUAACGACUUCUCUGCUGUCUCGACCACAGACUCGGCGAAAUUGCACUACGAGUAAAGAUGCUCGUUACGCGCGGCAGGACGAAAAGACCCCGGGACCUUUACUAUAGCUUGGUAUUGGCGUUCGAUUCGGUUUGUGUAGGAUAGGUGGGAGACUGUGAAGCAUGCACGCCAGUGUGUGUGGAGUCGUUGUUGAAAUACCACUCUGAUCGUAUUGGACGUCUAACCUCGGCCCAUGAUCUGGGUUAGGGACAGUGCCUGGUGGGUAGUUUAACUGGGGCGGUUGCCUCCUAAAGAGUAACGGAGGCGCCCAAAGGUUCCCUCAGCCUGGAUGGCAAUCAGGUGUUGAGUGCAAGUGCACAAGGGAGCUUGACUGUGAGACUGACACGUCGAGCAGGGACGAAAGUCGGGACUAGUGAUCCGGCACCGGCAAGUGGAAGCGGUGUCGCUCAACGGAUAAAAGGUACCCCGGGGAUAACAGGCUGAUCUUCCCCAAGAGUCCAUAUCGACGGGAUGGUUUGGCACCUCGAUGUCGGCUCGUCGCAUCCUGGGGCUGGAGUAGGUCCCAAGGGUUGGGCUGUUCGCCCAUUAAAGCGGCACGCGAGCUGGGUUUAGAACGUCGUGAGACAGUUCGGUCUCUAUCCGCCGCGCGCGUAAGAAACUUGAGGAAGGCUGUCCCUAGUACGAGAGGACCGGGACGGACGAACCUCUGGUGUGCCAGUUGUUCCACCUGGAGCAUGGCUGGUUAGCUACGUUCGGAAGGGAUAACCGCUGAAAGCAUCUAAGCGGGAAGCCUGUUCCAAGAUGAGGUUUCUCACCACCUUGCGUGGUUAAGGCCCCCUACAGACCAUGGGGUUGAUAGGCCGGAACUGGAAGCGCAGCAAUGCGUGGAGGUGACCGGUACUAAUAGGCCGAGGGCC
rnacentral:rRNA from 1 species